CCGCCUUUGGAUCCAGUAGACGCUUGAACAUCCUGAAGAACGUUCAAGGGGCUCGGUAAAAAUCCUUGGAAUUAAUUUUAGGAUAAUGGGACGAUGCUGGGAGGUCUACAGUUGUUGGAGAUUUAUUAAGGUAACAUGGAGCAAUUAAGAAGCGGCGGAUGAAUGCAAUCUGGUGCAGGCUGGCGCUUGGUACGCGUCACCCAUACAGAAACUGACCUCUGCGCCCGUGAGCUGAUCAGCUGAAAUAAUUUCGGUUUCUUGGCUAUGUUCAACGUCGCGUUGUGCCAGUUUUGAUAUCUGGUGUAACGCGGGUCGUCCAACGCCGCCUUCUGCCACGGCAAGCAUCCGGUCAGACAGACAAAUAGGACAAUGCCGAAUUGCCAGACAUCGUGCGACGUGAGAGCUCUGAAAAACGUGAAAGACUAAAUAACCGCUUAUACUUUUAUCAUUCAUGAUCAUGCAAGCCACGAUUUGCGGAAGUUAUUCCAACUUCGAUUAUAAAUGCUUUCGUCAGCAAAAGAAAUAUCUAUUUUAAUUUAACAAUUUCAAUAUUUUGCUACUUUAAUAGAGUUCUCCUAUAAGCUGUAAUUAUAGUUUUGAACUAAUGUUAUCCACUCGGUUAAGAGUCUUAAAAUUCCACCUCUUAAUUAGGGGAAGGUAAUUGCUGGUAAUGGUCAAUCGAAUAAUUACUUGUACGUCUCGUCAGUGUCGAUCUGCAAUACCUCAGGCGGCGAGUACGGCAGCCACUCGUUGUGCCUUCGCACCACAGUGUUAACCCGCCUGGUCUCGCCAAAAUCACACAGUUUGAUCCUCGAGAAAUCGCUCUUGAACACGAGGAUGUUGUCGAGCUUGAUGUCACGAUGCACCAAUUCGCGGCUGUGGAUGUGAUGCACCGCUGCAGCCAGUUGUCGGGCCACCCUCUUCGCGUGCAGCUCGCCUAAACCCGUCUCUGUCACGUUGGACGUUAAAUCUCCUGGAAAUUGAACCGCGAAAUUUGUAAUAAAAAGGGAACGAAAGGGUUCCAAUGUCCCUAGAAGAUUAUUACCGUCUCGUUGAAUAGUCAUUCAAGGUUUAAUUUCUUAAUCACACAUUUCUAGUGAAAAGGAAAAGGAAAAUUCAAGAUCAGUUUUGAAUUUCUCACCAAGGGGAGCGUAUUCUUGACUGAAAACGUAGAAUCCAGCGGUCUCGAAGGCCACGUCGUAGGUGGUGAUGAUGUUCCUGUGGGCCGCCAGGUGUAACCCGUAAUGGAAUUCCCGAAAGAAGUCCGAUAUCCCGGUGUACGCCUUCGGUAGCGCCUUCAGCACCAUCUCCGUCUGGGUGCUUCGAUGUUCGGUAAGCAAAAUCUUGCCGAACCAUCCCUCUCCGACGAUUUGCAGGAUAUCGAACUCGUCGAUCAGAUUCACCUGUUCGAAAAGAGGUAAGAGAGCACGUUUCAGCUGUUGUCCUGGGUACAGGAUCGUUAGUCGUGGUGCGACGUAUCGAACAGCUGCGCCCUCGAUUUUUCACCGUGAAUCGUGGAUGAAAGCAAAACCGCGAACAAGACGGUAGUCCAUUCUUCUAUUUUUAAUUCGACGCACGACCCGUUUUGUGUGUCGGACACGUUUCGAUCGACGGAUAACGCGGUUCCGAAUGAUUUCAUCGAGGGUGGGUGAAAACGAAACUGCGGAAGAUUUGUUUUCUUUAUUUUUUUACGCAAUAACCAGAAGCCCGUCGAAGUUCGUGGAUCCGAUGUAUAAUUUAGCGUGGUGCGUUAAAAAUGUGUUCCGUGACUUUUUAUCCAAAGUAAAAUCAACGACGCAGCAAGAAUUUCUAAUUUUAAUUAGCCAGAGGACUUCUGCUGCAUCUUUGGUGAAUAGUAAGUAACCCUUUCGUUAUAAUUCAAUGACAAUUUUCAUUCGUUUCAGUUUAUAUCACAAAAUCAAUAUUUUCGUAUAUAAUUUCAAGUGACAAAUUUAAAGGUGAAAAAAUAAUGAAACUACUCCAUUCAUUAUUUCGUGUACAACUUAUCGGCGUCGAGUGCCAUGUUCAAAAGCUAUUUCAUAAUAUUCUGUGAAACAUGGCCCAUUUUCAGUUCGUCUGCCAACUAAACAAUUCAUUUCAAUUCAUAACAUAAAAUAACAUUUCAAGUACCACGCUAAAAGUUAAUAUAUUUAAUUAAAAUGUAUCACGCGUUCAGGGAAUUGGAAACUCGUUUCGAAUAAAUAUGUACCAGUUGCUCGUAUUUCCAAUUUCUUUCAGCAGCAAAAAAUUAGAGAGGAGAAUAUCACGUUUUCAGAUGAAAAAUAAUGGAAAUAUUCGUGCCAUAUGUUUUAUUACACGAACAGUCGCGAACGACUGGUCGUCGAGCAAUUAACCGAAGUGUUAAAGGUUACAAUUGGUUCCUGUAUUGUCAUAAAGUGAGCAUCGAGGGAAAGUUGGUUUACUGCCAGAGAGAAGGAGAUUGCCCGUUCCUUGAUUCUGAGGUAAAUGUUGCACACACGUCCACUAUUUCUGGAUCCUCGACGACUCGCGACUGGAAACUCGGUCGCGUGUUACCGAUCUGUCGAGAAUUCGAUUCGUCACGAACAGUAGCUCAAAGGUUCGUUCUAUUACAGUACUCUGUUCAUUUAUUUGAAGAUGCUUUUUCGUAGGGACUUCUGUCUGGGAUUCGUUGUCCGACACACUUUCAGCGAAGAUUUACAUAGAUCUCUGGGCGUGACUGACAGUGAGUUAACGAGGCACGAUCUUAAGUUUAUGAAAUUCAGCGUGUAAUAUUAUUAUAUAUUUAUCAAUUUGAAAUUAACAUUUAAAAAAAAUUAAAUUUGAAACUUAAGAAUGGACACUUAAUAAUGUAAAAAAUUUUAAUUGAUCAAAAGUAGAUUUAUACUUUCUUUAAUUGCAAGGAAAUACAUAUUCCUAGGAAUUAGAAACUCUGUAAAUAUUUUAUAAUUUUCCAAAUUUAUAAAAUUGUAAUAAAAUGUAACAAUUUCAAACCAAGGUAUAAUUAAUAGAAGAUAGUAACGUUGAAGCUAGCAAGGGUAGAAAUUAUCAUCCCUUUAAUUUCUUAUUUACUUCGUCUACCCAAAAAUGCAUCUACCCAUUCAAUUCUUGAUUCAUCAUCAUUAACGGAAGCAAUCAGAGACUUCUACCAAAAGAAUCGAUAAUCGUUUUACUCUAAAUUUUGCAUUCGAUACAUUUGUCUCUUCCUUAAUUGGGUCAACAGUUUCAUUCUAUCAGACAGAUUGGAAAAUCGUAUUAACAGAGGAUCGUUCAAUUCAGAGGAUCCGUUCAACGACACGAGUCAGGAUAUAUUUACAAAUUUAUGCGCUCGACACAGGGCCGGAUCUUAGUUGUUUCCAGUUCUUCAAACAUUUCGGUCGAGGUUUGUGUGCUUCGAGCACGUGAAUUUGUAAGCAUUUACUGUCUCGUCUUGUUGGAUGGAGUAUAGUUCUGUCACGUCAGAGAUUCGAUUCGGCAAUCGAAUUACCUUCUCGAGCUCGAAUUCGCGUAUCCUGUGAAUGGAGCCGCCGAUCGCCUUCUUCAUUAAGCUCAUUCUGACAGACGGUAGUCAAUCGUGUGCCACGGGCUCGUGCGGAAGCCAAAAGUCGAAAAUGAGCUUAACAAUCCGUUUUGAUUAACGCAGAGAUAUUCAGAUUUUGUCAUUUCGUGGUGAACGAUGAUCAUUGGACUUCCGCUAGCUCGUUGUGAUCAGCCAUUCGAUCUUGCGAAAAAGUCGAUGAACCCUGAAUC